CACAGGCCAACUAAUAUCUCAGUCUGGUCCUGCUGCUUUGGUAUGUUUUGAUCUUUCAAUGUCUUAUGUGCACAAAUGCAUUUAAACCAAGGAAAAAUCCCAAUGGGACAUCUGUGCUCAACAAGUUGUGCAAACUCAGAGCAAAGAUCUGUCUGACUUGUAAAAUACCACACACGUGCUAAUGUGCUUAGAGGAUUCUGAUGUUCAGAUUCUGCAGAAGUUGAGGGCCAGAAGUAACUAACAGAUGGGGAGGUUCCAGGCAUCUGUGAAUGAGUUUUUUCACACAAUGGAUGAAGACGACUGUCUCACGCCUGCUCACCCCUGUGAACAACUCACACCUGGCUUCAGUGGGAAAUGUGAGGUUCUCAGGAACAAGUCUAGAGAAAUGAGGAGCUCAGAGAAGUAAAACAGCUUGACAGAGAUGCAUCUGAAACAAGGAAUGCUGGAACUGGAAGGAUCUUUUGAAUAUGCACAAACUAAAAAGGGAAAAACCACACAGGAAAAAAAAAAGAAAAAAAAGUGUGUCUAGCUUCAUGUAGAGAUGGAUUUUCUAUUCCACGGAAACUAAUUUGCCUCCAAUGCAAAUUCUUUGUUGAAAGGAUGUGCCUACACUGCAGCUGAAAAUGCUUCUGACAUAGGUUACGUGGGUACUAAAGCAGUAUGGGCAGCAAAAUAACAGCAACAGCAAAAAUUUAAAUCACAGAGACUAUUACAAAUGCAAUCAAGGGCUCCCUGUCGAAUUCAGAAACACCAGGUUUCUUGGUAUUUAGGUUUGUAUUUUAAUAAAUGUGUUGGCAACGG
rnacentral:lncRNA from 1 species